UGGGGAAUCUUGCGCAAUGGGCGAAAGCCUGACGCAGCAACGCCGCGUGCGGGAAGAAGGCCUUCGGGUUGUAAACCGCUGUCAGGAGGGACGAAGCCACUCGGGUGAAUAGCCCAGAGGGUGACGGUACCUCCAAAGGAAGCCCCGGCUAACUACGUGCCAGCAGCCGCGGUAAUACGUAGGGGGCAAGCGUUGUCCGGAAUUAUUGGGCGUAAAGAGCGUGUAGGCGGCUAGUCAAGUCCGGUGUGAAAUCUCGGGGCUCAACCCCGAAACUGCAUUGGAAACUGGCUUGCUAGAGUCCGGAAGAGGAGAUUGGAAUUCCUGGUGUAGCGGUGAAAUGCGCAGAUAUCAGGAAGAACACCCGUGGCGAAGGCGGAUCUCUGGGACGGUACUGACGCUGAGACGCGAAAGCGUGGGGAGCAAACA
rnacentral:rRNA from 1 species